rnacentral:rRNA from 1 species
GAUGAACGCUGGCGGCGUGCCUAAUACAUGCAAGUCGAGCGAACGGACGAGAGGCUUGCUUUUCUGAUGUUAGCGGCGGACGGGUGAGUAACACGGGGAUAACCUACCUAUAAGACUGGUAUAACUUCGGGAAACCGGAGCUAAUACCGGAUAAUAUUUUGAACCGCAUGGUUCAAAAGUGAAAGACGGGCUUGCUGUCACUUAUAGGUGGAUCCGCGCUGCAUUAGCUAGUUGGUAAGGUAACGGCUUACCAAGGCAACGAUGCAUAGCCGACCUGAGAGGGUGAUCGGCCACACUGGAACUGAGCCACCGUACUGACUCCUACGGGAGGCCGAAGCAGGGAAUCUUCGGAAAUGGGCGAAAGCCUGAAGGAGCAACGCCGCGUGAGUGAUGAAGGUCUUCGGAUCGUAUAACUCUGUUAUUAGGGAAGAACAUAUGUGUAAGUAACUGUGCACAUCUUGACGGUAGCUAAUCAGAAAGCAACGGCUAACUACGUG